rnacentral:misc_RNA from 1 species
UCCGAGUUGUCCCCGGCAGUCCCCUUAGAGUCCCCGGCAUUACCCGCUGGCAACUAAGGGCAGGGGUUGCGCUCGUUGCGGCACUUAAGCCAACACCUCACGGCACGAGCUGACGACAGCCAUGCAGCACCUGUCUCUGCGUUCCCGAAGGCACCAAUCCAUCUCUGGAAAGUUCGCAGGAUGUCAAGGCCAGGUAAGGUUCUUCGCGUUGCAU